rnacentral:lncRNA from 1 species
UUAAUAAUUCUUAUUUUUUUUAUUUUGUAAAGUAAACUUAAUGUACAUAGAAAUAUCAUUACCUGACAUUAUCACAAUUUAAUACAUUAUAUAAAAUACCAUCAUAUUAAUAAUGCAAGUUUCUAUAAAAAUAAAAAAGGGAAUAAAGAUAAAAUAAGAUAGUGUUGUAUCAAUAAACUCAUCAUAGACACCAGGACUAAAUUUUGUAUAUAUACACCAGACGCGCAUUUCGUCUACAAAAGACUCAUCAGUGACGCUCGAAUCCAAAAAAGGUAAAAAGGUAAAAAGGCCAAAACAGAUAAGUAAAGGUCAUUGUUUAGAAUUUAUCGUCAAGGAAAAAUGUACUAUGCCAUAACACAAUAUCUUGUUCAAAACUGAUUCAGGUAAAAAGUAAAGUCACAAUCAAAGUGCCUGUAAGCACUGAACGGUAAAUAUUGCUUCAAUUUAUCAGUAGGAAGUAAAAUUAAAUAUUGCAUUGGUUGCAGUUAAUUUAACAGCAAUUCUUAAGAUGACUUUAACAAUGACAUCAUUAUUUUGUUUUAAACAGAUAUAAGAUUCCUUCACCUUGCAAAAGUUAUGUCAUUUUCUAGGAAAGUGUAACAUCAUGUUGUGCCUUGAAUAUCUGAGCAUAUAUUACAUGGAUAAAUUUCUGGAAAUGUUCAUGGAUAAGAUGUACAGAAUGUUAUGAUCAAUGCACUAUAUUUUGUGUAUCAAAAAGGUAGUGAUAAGCCUUGGAAGAUUUAGAUAUCAAGCCAGUCCAAUAAGGUUUUGAUUGCAUUUCAUGCAAUCUUUACCUAAAAAAAAAUACCAAACACUGAAAUACUGAACAGAAAGUUCCUUAUCAAAUGGAAAAAUCAAAAGCUCCUACACAUCAAAAGGAUGGAUAACAACUUAUGUGUAGGAUCCCUGCAGAUUUCAUAUUUAAGCAGCAUAAAAAAAUAGUUUGAAUUCUGAGUACAUCUGAAACAACAGAAAAAGAUUCAAGUUGCACCCUAUUAAAAAAAACUGUUUUCUUCAAAGAAAUUACAAAAAGAGUCUCAAUGGUGUAAAUAUAGAAAUAGGAAAUCUGAAAUUAAACUACAACCCUAAAACUGAUAAUUAUUUCACUGUAAAUGCAAAUUUAUUUCACAACAUUUGGGUUUUUUUUGCUUAGUAACAGAUAUUCAGUGAGUUAGUUGUUUUAAAUAGCAGCUGAAAGAUGGUCAAAUUUCCUGAGCAGCAAAGCGUCGUAUAUAAACGAUUGAGGGUUGAAAAUGAACAAUAUUUAUAUCGUUUAAGAUAAUACAUGAAAAAUACACAAGAUUUGCUGUAGUCUUACUGUUAUUCAUGUACACAUUUAGAUAAAAUAGUUUAAAUAAAAACAGUAAUUUAAUAAA